GAUGAACGCUGGCGGCGUGCCUAAUACAUGCAAGUCGAGCGAACGGACGAGAAGCUUGCUUCUCUGAUGUUAGCGGCGGACGGGUGAGUAACACGUGGAUAACCUACCUAUAAGACUGGGAUAACUUCGGGAAACCGGAGCUAAUACCGGAUAAUAUUUUGAACCGCAUGGUUCAAAAGUGAAAGACGGUCUUGCUGUCACUUAUAGAUGGAUCCGCGCUGCAUUAGCUAGUUGGUAAGGUAACGGCUUACCAAGGCAACGAUGCAUAGCCGACCUGAGAGGGUGAUCGGCCACACUGGAACUGAGACACGGUCCAGACUCCUACGGGAGGCAGCAGUAGGGAAUCUUCCGCAAUGGGCGAAAGCCUGACGGAGCAACGCCGCGUGAGUGAUGAAGGGCUUCGGAUCGUAAAACUCUGUUAUUAGGGAAGAACAUAUGUGUAAGUAACUGGGCACAUCUUGACGGUACCUAAUCAGAAAGCCACGGCUAACUACGUGC
rnacentral:rRNA from 1 species